rnacentral:lncRNA from 1 species
CCUUCAGUUGGUUAUCAGAUUAAACUGACAAAAUUACUGCAGAGUAAUUGCCUUCCUAAUUGCUUAUGAUCGAUAAAUUGCUUAAGGGUUUUCCCCAAUUGAAUAUGUUACAUUUAUUCUUAAUUCUCUUUCCUUGAUUCACACACAGACCUGUGCUUCCAAUUGGGAAAUUGAAGCUGCAAUUUUCUUGUACCUGAGAGUCACUCCAAUAGCUCUUUGUGUCUCAAUUUUCUCCUAAAGGACUACAUAUGCUAUCAACCCUCUCUACCCUUGCCCCAGGGAAUUUUGAAGGUGGGGAUACCAACUCAUCUGCCUGUUUUCUUCCCUGCCUGAAGUCAUCUCUGUAUUAACAGGUGGUGAACCUACAGCUGUGUUUCUGGCUUCAGCAGCAGUUCAGUGCAUCCUAAGUUGCUUUCUGUGAAGGACAAGCCCUGGGACACCCAUCACUGGAAGAGACAGUUAUCAUCAGUCCUUUUAAGAUCCUUGAAGGUUUACUCCAAGAAUGGAAGAAUUCUUUGGGCUUAUGAAUUCAGAAAGAGCUACAUCAGAAAUACUCUCACACACAUGAUUUCUGAGCUCCUAAGGACAUUGCAAAGAGCUGAGGAAUUGGAAGUAGCAUGGUUCAGAACAGUAAGUCCCAAAUCCUUUAACUCCUUUCUCCUAAAGGCCAUAGUGAUUCCUGUACUGAAACACUUUUUACAUCAGAGUACUUUGGUUUCAUCAGGACUACAGACUCAGUUCAGUUAUUGAAGUUGAAUGUCACAAAAACAGCUGGAAACUCUGAUGUGAGGAAGAGACCAGGACUCACUCCCCUACCAAACCAAACCAAACCAAACCAAACCAAACCAAACCAAACCAAACCAAACCAAACCAAACCAAACCAAACCAAACCAAACGGAACCAAACCGAACUCAAACGAACUGAACUGAACCGAACAAAACCCAACCCAAUCCAACCAACCAACCAACCAACCAAAAACCCACACUGCUGAACUUCUGAAAUGAAAUAAUUGCUUUAUUUGCAUCAUGUUUUUUUAUUUUUAUUUUUUUACUUCUCCAUGUAUCAGUAGUUAUGUAUUAAUUUUAACAUUUUGCUUUUAUUGACAUUGUCACAAUUUGCUCAUGAGUAGUUCUAGGUCAUAUACCAAAACAAGAUAAAAAACAAAACAAAACAAAACCUCCAAAACAGCAAGUAAAGUUUUUACAGAGUACACUGACUCUCAAUCCAGCAAGCAUUCAAUGUCAGUGUCUUCCGUCUGCUUCAUCACAAAGGUGGUCCUUCAGCUGUGGCACUUUGUAUUUCCUGACAGACUGAGUAGAUUUUUCAAGGGAAGAACAUCCUUCUUAAUAGUUCAUAGUUUAACAUCAUCCCAAACAAACAUGGUUGCUCGUGCUAAUGAUCUUGUUUUAUUAUUCAUUUUCUAAUUUUUAGUGGGAGGGUCUCGUCUUAGUCAUAGCAAUAUUGGGUGCAUAAUUUCUUCAGACUGCUUGUAAUUCUGGGUUAAACAAACCUAAAAAUAGAGCUUUCAUCCUGGUAAUUAUCAGAUGAGGAGUCAUCUUGAUGGAGCUCUCACAUCUCAUCUGAGGUACUAGAUUUUGCUGUUGGCCAAAUUAUGGUACUUAUUGUCACAAGAAUUCAUUCAAGAUAGGGAGUUAGCUAU